ACUCAAAUGAAUAGACGGGGGCUCACACAAGCGGUGGAGCAUGUGGCUUAAUUCGAGGCUACGCGAAGAACCUUAUCCUAGGCUUGACAUGUGCGAAAGCGCCAGCAGGUGUAGGACCCGGAAACGGGGACGAACCCCUCAGACGGGGAAGCUGGUACAGGUGCUGCAUGGCUGUCGUCAGCUCGUGUCGUGAGAUGUCGGGUUAAGUCCCAUAACGAGCGAAACCCUUACCCUUAGUUGCAACUCGCAAGAGGCACUCUAGGGGGACUGCCGGUGUCAAACCGGAGGAAGGCGGGGAUGACGUCAAGUCCUCAUGGCCUUUAUGCCUAGGGCUGCACACGUGCUACAAUGGCGUGAACAAAGUGACGCGAGCCCGCGAGGGGGAGCCAAUCACACAAAACACGCCCCAGUUCAGAUCGGAGGCUGCAACUCGCCUCCGUGAAGCCGGAAUCGCUAGUAAUCGCGGGUCAGCAACACCGCGGUGAAUGUGUUCCUGAGCCUUGCACACACCGCCCGU
rnacentral:rRNA from 1 species